GAUGAUCAAUCUUCAAUAAGAAGAGAGCAAAGGAGGCCAUUGCUUGAAGACACUUCAUAUAAAGCCUAGUUUCUGAUCCAUUUUAUAGUGUUAGUAAUACUGUGCUCAAACAGUUGCAUAUCCCAUAUAUGUGUAUUAUCUUUGAACAUCCACAUUGUUCCUUGAAGAGGGAAAAAUUGGUGGCAUCCACGUUUGAUACUCUGUUGCUGAA
rnacentral:lncRNA from 1 species